UCGACCCUAAUCCGGACAGCUCUGCUCGGAGGGUUUAGAAUGUUGUUCCCUGAAAUACAAAGGAGCCAGGACCGGGUUUGCUAACCGUUACGGGGACAAGGUGGGGAAGUUGCCCUGCCUCCCGGGACCAGCGCUGCCAAAUUCUUCUGGUGUCCUGGCGUCCGCGCGCUCCGGGGCCUCGGUGUCCUGAGUAGCCGGGCGAGAACAGUGUUUGGCUCUCAGACCUGCAAGGUGCCACUCGCCUUGAGCUAGUUUCUAAAUCUUGUCACCCUCCGGCGGAGGGCCUGCGCGCUGCACACAGAUAUGGAACGCAGGACUUGAGGGGACUACAAGUGCUCCCUUUGCUGGAGACAUAAACCAAGGAGAGCUCUUACCUUCUCCUGGCCCUGGCUUGUGCCUGGAGCCUUGCUGUUGCUCUUCUUUUGCUCCUACUCCCCUGGCUGCAGGCAGGCUCUUACCAUCACACCACAAAGCUGUUCUCACCAAAGUUCCCCGGG